CAGCGAGUUAGGCCGGGGUGCUAGCGGUACCCUCCACGAAAACCCGCUAUACGUCGGGCCGAAGCUCCGGAGAGGCGUACGGAACUGCUCGUCGGCUCGGUCUGCAGCGUGGACACCCCGUCCCUCAGGGUCGCCGGUGGGGGAGCCCCGAUCGGAGGGUUGGGGUAAACCCCCUUCGCCUGCCGAACCCGGUCAGGAACGGAAGUUCGCAGCCGUAGAUAGGACGGUUGGCGCUUGAGGGGUCGCGGGGUCGAGCUCGCGGCCGGGUGUCGGACGAGGAGGGAAGGCGUCCACCCGGGGCGCGCUCGCUG
rfam:Candidate divison MSBL1 archaeon SCGC-AAA259D18 AAA259D18_Contig_7, whole genome shotgun sequence.